rnacentral:rRNA from 1 species
AUGGCAACCAGUGCAGCUUGUCAUGGCGCCGGGGCCGUGGUGAAGGUUGAGAAUAGCAUCGCUGGCCGGGUGAGGAGGGGCCACGCUGCACGGGCUGCCGGAUCCGUCGGAGCAGCUGCAGAAGUUGGACGUCUCCACGGUGAAUCCUCCUACAGCACGUUCCGCUUCAAGGUGAAGAACAAGCAGAUGCCGUGGAUGAGGAUACCGGGCGGAUGGGAGGAACAAAUGGAGGGGCCGUGCCCAAGGUACAUCAAGCUCUGGACUGGCAAUGGUGUGUGGUCUGCUUGGAUGAAUCGGGUGACGAAUGGGGGCGACUCCAUGUACCUGACAGACGGAUGGGUGCAGUUCGUCAAGCAGCAUGGCGUGCAGAACGGAGACAUGCUGACCUUCCAGAUCAUCGGGCCUGAUGCGUGGUACGUUCGCAUCUACGCAGACGGCGGGGAAGAGAGGCCGAUUCGCCACGAAUAG